GUUUGUUGAAAAUCAUCCCUGGCCUUGGUCAUGGCCUGGAUUGAGAUUCAGCAUCCAGAACUACCAGGGUCCUCAGUUUCCUCCAACAGCCACAUUGUGGGAGGGUGAAACCCAGGCAUCUUUGUGC
ensembl:snoRNA